UGCAGAAUUUAUUAGCACAACUCCCUGAAUUUGAUCAGAAGGUAAUUCUGAUGCUGCAAUAAGAGCAGUAAAUCCUCCAAGGCUGCAAUAUUGGAGAAACAUCAUUACAGUUUGUUUUUUGAAAGUCUAUUUAUUGCUCUUAUGAAAAAAAUUAUUUAUUUAAAUGUUUCAAGUCCAGCAAUUGCCUGUUUCCAACUAGAACUGCUGGUUCCUUUACAAUUUCUUUCAGGAAAUCGGUAACUUGAUCUCUCCAUAUCAUGGCAUCAUACUCGACAAGUGCCUUGUCACUCCAUCCAAAUCCCAACAAGUCCAAGGCAUAAACUUUAUGGGAUUUUGCAAGCUCUGGUAUGUUGUAUCUGCUCAUACAUUAAUAUCUUAUUUUUUAUUUUUUAUAAAACAAAAAUUACAUAUAGCUAUUAGCUACCAAGUAACAACCAAGAGGUCAUGAUUUUAUAUUUUUACCUCCAGUGAUAAGCUGAAGCCCCAAAACCAUGUAUAAGAAUAACAGGAGGUCCACCAGUUCCUUGUUCUACAUAAUGAAUUUUGUUUCCUUUCCAGUUCCAGAAAC
rnacentral:lncRNA from 1 species